AGAGUUUGAUCCCGGCUCAGGACGAACGCUGGCGGCGCGCCUAACACAUGCAAGUCGAACGAGCGAGAGAGAGCUUGCUUUCUCGAGCGAGUGGCGAACGGGUGAGUAACGCGUGAGGAACCUGCCUCAAAGAGGGGGACAACAGUUGGAAACGACUGCUAAUACCGCAUAAGCCCACGGCUCGGCAUCGAGCAGAGGGAAAAGGAGCAAUCCGCUUUGAGAUGGCCUCGCGUCCGAUUAGCUAGUUGGUGAGGUAAUGGCCCACCAAGGCAACGAUCGGUAGCCGGACUGAGAGGUUGAACGGCCACAUUGGGACUGAGACACGGCCCAGACUCCUACGGGAGGCAGCAGUGGGGAAUAUUGCACAAUGGGGGAAACCCUGAUGCAGCGACGCCGCGUGGAGGAAGAAGGUCUUCGGAUUGUAAACUCCUGUUGUUGAGGAAGAUAAUGACGGUACUCAACAAGGAAGUGACGGCUAACUACGUGCCAGCAGCCGCGGUAAAACGUAGGUCACAAGCGUUGUCCGGAAUUACUGGGUGUAAAGGGAGCGCAGGCGGGAAGACAAGUUGGAAGUGAAAUCUAUGGGCUCAACCCAUAAACUGCUUUCAAAACUGUUUUUCUUGAGUAGUGCAGAGGUAGGCGGAAUUCCCGGUGUAGCGGUGGAAUGCGUAGAUAUCGGGAGGAACACCAGUGGUGAAGGCGGCCUACUGGGCACCAACUGACGCUGAGGCUCGAAAGUGUGGGUAGCAAACAGGAUUAGAUACCCUGGUAGUCCACACCGUAAACGACGAUUACUAGGUGUUGGAGGAUUGACCCCUUCAGUGCCGCAGUUAACACAAUAAGUAAUCCACCUGGGGAGUACGACCGCAAGGUUGAAACUCAAAGGAAUUGACGGGGGCCCGCACAAGCAGUGGAGUAUGUGGUUUAAUUCGACGCAACGCGAAGAACCUUACCAAGUCUUGACAUCCUGCGACGCACAUAGAAAUAUGUGUUUCCUUCAGGACGCAGAGACAGGUGGUGCAUGGUUGUCGUCAGCUCGUGUCGUGAGAUGUUGGGUUAAGUCCCGCAACGAGCGCAACCCUUACUGUCAGUUACUACGCAAGAGGACUCUGGCAGGACUGCCGUUGACAAAACGGAGGAAGGUGGGGAUGACGUCAAAUCAUCAUGCCCUUUAUGACUUGGGCUACACACGUACUACAAUGGCGUUAAACAAAGAGAAGCAAGACCGCGAGGUGGAGCAAAACUCAGAAACAACGUCCCAGUUCGGACUGCAGGCUGCAACUCGCCUGCACGAAGUCGGAAUUGCUAGUAAUCGUGGAUCAGCAUGCCACGGUGAAUACGUUCCCGGGCCUUGCACUCACCGCCCGUCA
rnacentral:rRNA from 1 species